rnacentral:lncRNA from 1 species
AAAAUAAGAUUCUCAGACGAGAGAAUCGAGCCUCGAGUUCAAGCAGUGACUUGGCUUUGGUGGUGACUAGAAGUAGUGGUAGCAGAGGAUGAAGUGGUGAAGGAUCGCAAGGUAGACGGUCCAAAUCCAAAUCAAGAGACUCGAGCAAGUUUAGAUGCUACCGAUGUGAUGAAUUGGGACAUCGAAUUAGAAAUUAUCCACAGCUCA